rnacentral:rRNA from 2 species
AGGUUAAGUUAACAAGGGCGCAUGGUGAAUGCCUUGGCACUAGGAGCCGAUGAAGGACGGGACUAACACCGAUAUGCUUCGGGGAGCUGUACGUAAGCUAUGAUCCGGAGAUUUCCGAAUGGGGCAACCCAGCAGUUUUAAUCAACUGUUACCACUAGAUGAAUUCAUAGUCUAGUUGGAGGUAAACGCUGUGAACUGAAACAUCUCAUUAGCAGCAGGAAUAUAAAGAAAUUUCGAUUCCCUAAGUAGCGGCGAGCGAACGGGGAACAGCCCAAACCAAAGUGCUUGCACUUUGGGGUUGUAGGACUGAACAUUUGAGUUACCAAAGAACUUGAUAGUCGAAGGAUUUGGGAAAAUCCGCCAUAGAUGGUGAUAGCCCAGUAGAUUAAAUCAAAUUCUCUCAGUUCAGGAUCCUGAGUACGGCGGAACACGUGAAAUUCCGUCGGAAUCCGGGAGGACCAUCUCCCAAGGCUAAAUACUACCUAGUGACCGAUAGUGAACCAGUACCGUGAGGGAAAGGUGAAAAGCACCCCGGGAGGGGAGUGAAAUAGUUCCUGAAACCAUGUGCCUACAAUAAGUCAGAGCGCGUUAAUGCGUGAUGGCGUGCCUUUUGUAGAAUGAACCGGCGAGUUAUGAUCCCGUGCAAGGUUAAGACUAAAAAGUCGGAGCCGUAGCGAAAGCGAGUCUGAAAUGGGCGUUUUGAGUACGAGGUUAUAGACCCGAAACCAGGUGACCUAUCCAUGUCCAGGUUGAAGGUGCGGUAAAACGCACUGGAGGACCGAACCCGUGUAAGUUGAAAAUUGCUGGGAUGAGGUGUGGAUAGCGGUGAAAUUCCAAACGAACUUGGAGAUAGCUGGUUCUCUCCGAAAUAGCUUUAGGGCUAGCCUCGGAAUUAGGAUCAUGGAGGUAGAGCACUAUUUGGACUAGGGGCCCGUCUUGGGUUACUGAAUUCAGAUAAACUCCGAAUGCCAUUGAUUCAUAUCCGGGAGUCAGACGAUGAGUGAUAAGAUCCACCGUCGAAAGGGGAACAGCCCAGACCAUCAGUUAAGGUCCCUAAAUGUAUGCUAAGUGGAAAAGGAUGUGGAGUUGCAUAGACAACUAGGAUGUUGGCUCAGAAGCAGCCACCAUUUAAAGAGUGCGUAAUAGCUCACUAGUCGAGUGAUCCUGCGCCGAAAAUGUACCGGGGCUAAGCAUACUACCGAAACCAUGGAUGCGACCAUUAGGUCGCGUGAUAGGAGAGCGUUCUAAGGGCGGUGAAGCAAGAUCGUGAGGACUUGUGGAGCGCUUAGAAGUGAGAAUGCCGGUAUGAGUAGCGAAAGAUAGGUGAGAAUCCUAUCCACCGAAUGACUAAGGUUUCCUGGGGAAGGCUCGUCCUCCCAGGGUUAGUCGGGACCUAAGUCGAGGCCGAGAGGCGUAGACGAUGGAUAACAGGUUGAGAUUCCUGUACUAGUUAAGUGCGUUUGAGCAAUGGAGGGACGCAGGAGGCUAAGAUGUGCAUUCUGUUGGAUUAGAAUGUCCAAGCAGUAAGUCUUGUGAAGAGUCAAAUGCUUUUCACUUUAAGGACAAGCUGUGAUGGGGAGCGAAAUUUAGUAGCGAAGCGUCUGAUGUCACACUGCCGAGAAAAGCUUCUAGUGAGUACUUAACUACCCGUACCGCAAACCGACACAGGUAGUCGAGGAGAGAAUCCUAAGGUGAGCGAGUGAACUCUCGUUAAGGAACUCGGCAAAAUGACCCCGUAACUUCGGGAGAAGGGGUGCUGAUCGCAAGAUCAGCCGCAGUGAAUAGGCCCAGGCGACUGUUUAUCAAAAACACAGGUCUCUGCAAAAUCGUAAGAUGACGUAUAGGGGCUGACGCCUGCCCGGUGCUGGAAGGUUAAAAGGAUGGGUUAGCUUCGGCGAAGCUCAGAAUUGAAGCCCCAGUAAACGGCGGCCGUAACUAUAACGGUCCUAAGGUAGCGAAAUUCCUUGUCGGGUAAGUUCCGACCCGCACGAAAGGCGUAACGAUCUGGGCACUGUCUCAACGAGAGACUCGGUGAAAUUAUAUUGUCCGUGAAGAUGCGGACUACCCGCGACAGGACGGAAAGACCCCAUGGAGCUUUACUGUAGCUUGAUAUUGAGUGUUUGUACAGCUUGUACAGGAUAGGUAGGAGCCAUAGAAACCGGAACGCUAGUUUCGGUGGAGGCGUUGGUGGGAUACUACCCUCGCUGUAUGACCACUCUAACCCGCACCACUAAUCGUGGUGGGAGACAGUGUCAGGUGGGCAGUUUGACUGGGGCGGUCGCCUCCUAAAAAGUAACGGAGGCGCCCAAAGGUUCCCUCAGAAUGGUUGGAAAUCAUUCGCAGAGUGUAAAGGCACAAGGGAGCUUGACUGCGAGACAGACAGGUCGAGCAGGGACGAAAGUCGGGCUUAGUGAUCCGGUGGUACCGUAUGGAAGGGCCAUCGCUCAACGGAUAAAAGCUACCCUGGGGAUAACAGGCUUAUCUCCCCCAAGAGUCCACAUCGACGGGGAGGUUUGGCACCUCGAUGUCGGCUCAUCGCAUCCUGGGGCUGUAGUCGGUCCCAAGGGUUGGGCUGUUCGCCCAUUAAAGCGGUACGCGAGCUGGGUUCAGAACGUCGUGAGACAGUUCGGUCCCUAUCCGUCGCGGGCGUAGGAAAUUUGAGAGGACCUGUCCUUAGUACGAGAGGACCGGGAUGGACAUACCUCUGGUGUACCAGUUGUGCCGCCAGGCGCAUCGCUGGGUAGCUACGUAUGGAUGUGAUAAACGCUGAAAGCAUCUAAGUGUGAAACACACCUCGAGAUGAGAUUUCCCAUUUCUUUAUGGAAGUAAGACCCCUGAAAGAUGAUCAGGUAGAUAGGUUAGAAGUGGCAGUGCGGUGACGCAUGAAGCGGACUAAUACUAAUCGGUCGAGGACUUAACCAAG